AUGGUUCGAUGGUCGGAGAUUUGCAAGCCUCGUGACCAAGGUGGCAUGGGGAUUAUGUCCCCCAAACGCAUGAACAUCGCCCUCCUUGCUCGAUGGCUUUGGCGGAUCUCCAAUGGUGAGGGUGGUCUUUGGUUGCAGAUUAUCUGAAAUAAACAUCUUCGCGGCCAACCCCUUGCUUUCUGCCAACAGUCCGGUGGCUCCCAGUUCUGGCAAUCCGUGAUACAACUGCUACCCGUACUCCGGAUCGGGACCUCCAUUGCGGUUGGCUCGGGCUCUAGUACCCUAUUCUAGUUCGAUAGAUUGGCGGGCGAUGCCUCCUUUGUCGCCCGCUUCCUGGACUUGUUCGCCAUCGCUGUGGACCCUCGGGUCUCAGUCGAGGCGGCCCUUAUUGACUUAGGGCGCCUCGCCUUCAGGCGGGCCUUCGGGCCCCUGGAAGUUAACGCGUGGCAUAAGCUCCUGGACACCAUUGCUCUGCAUGAGCCAGACCUCACGCAAUCCCAGGACCUUGUUUCCUGGCGCUUAGAGCCUUCGGGCAACUUCUCCACCAAAUGCCUUUACAAGGCUAUCGCUCCCUCCCCCGCCCCGGAACCUCUUAUAUUGAUAUGGGAAAUCAAACCUCCCCUUAAGAUAAGGAUCUUUCUCUGGCGGUGGAUCCGCGGGCGGGUUCCGUCUGGAGUCGAGGUUGUAGGAGAUAUGCCCUAG
rnacentral:rRNA from 1 species